rnacentral:lncRNA from 1 species
ACAGCGCCCCCCGGAGGCUCGGUUCACCCACUGCACAACCCCGUUUCUCCCCUCGCCACCCCCUUUUCUGCCAGCUCCAGCCUCCACCCUGUUUGUCCACUCCAUGCCCAACCUCGCUGUGCCCUUCAGCCUGGAACAGCCUCGCUGCCUCCCUGACGAGCUCCUAUUCAUCCUUCACAACCCGGCUCAGAUGCCCCCACCUCAGGGAGCCUUUCCCAGAGGCCCAGCUCUGUGAGCCCCACGGUGACCCACACAAAGGGGAACAGCAUGGACGCCAGGAACGCCCCCAAGUCAUGGACUGAGAGGGGGGCCCAGGACUUUUGGCGACUCACACGCGGGGCUCUGCGCGUCUCCCGAGGCACCCUGUGAUCGGGGGCUUCACUUGCUGUGAAGGUGGGCCUCCCGCCCUUUCCCACCCCUGCUGCACACCUUGCUGCUGAGUGAACGCGUCCUCAUGCGCGGGAGCCAGUGCUGCCCCUUGGGCCGUCAGCCCCGCCCCUCAAAGCCUCCUGCAAGGGCCCCCGGUCAGAGCUGCGCUGGCGGAGUCUGGGCUGCCCUGUGUGACCGCUGCCCACCCAGCAGUGCGGGGCGAGACCGGGCCUCCCUCAGCAUCCCCUCAGCACUUGGACAAGCUGCAGAACCCACAGGGAAUGGAAUGUCUUCCUCCCAGGGGCCAAUAUAAACAGCAGGGUGCCCGGCUUUCCUAAUUUAGUUGUUGGUGGCUCUGGCCAGCCAGAGAGGUCGUUUGAAAAUACAGUGAGACUAGAGGCCAUCACAGCGCAGGAGACACACCCGGGCCCACCUU